GAUUAACUGUCCUCUUCCCUGUUCAAACCAUAUGUAACUGUAACUGAAUGGAAGUUAAACAUCUGGAAACUGUUAGGAUUGAAUAGCAAUGAAAGGCAGGAAGCACAAGACUAUGGAAAGUGGUUUUGAACAACCAGGGCCACCUGGAAGCAUAAUUCUGGUAGCAAUAGGGACGUGGGUCAAAGGGUACUUGAGGUUAUCAGCUUUCAGAGUGAAGACACAUAAUCCCUGUUAGAGUGGAAGACUUAAAAUCGAGUUUGAGGCACACCUUCUGAAACUGCAGCCUCUUGGGAGCCUGAUUACCAGUGAAGAGUAGUUGCUGCUUUGCAUUUUUCACACUUGAACACAGUGAAGAAGAUGAACAUUAAUUAGGAUUAUAAUGCCACGAAGGCUUACUGUGCUGUGAGAACUCACAAGAAAGAAAAUGCCAUUUCUUUUUUUUGGAUGCAA